rnacentral:rRNA from 1 species
UACAGAGGGUGCGAGCGUUAAUCGGAAUUACUGGGCGUAAAGCGCACGUAGGUGGCGACGUAAGUCGGGUGUGAAAGCCCCGGGCUCAACCUGGGAAUUGCAUUCGAGACUGCAUUGCUGGAGUACGGAAGAGGAAGGCGGAAUUCCCGGUGUAGCGGUGAAAUGCGUAGAUAUCGGGAGGAACAUCAGUGGCGAAGGCGGCCUUCUGGUCCAGUACUGACACUGAGGAGCGAAAGCGUGGGGAGCGAACAGG